rnacentral:tRNA from 1 species
GUCUCCGUGGCGCAAUCGGUUAGCGCGUCUGACUGUUAUGAAACAGUUCAAUCAGGAGGUUGACAGUUCGAUCCUGUCCGGGGACG